GACCGCGUAGCUCAGUUGGCAGAGCAUUGGGCUAGUAUUCCAAAGGUCGUAGGUUCGAUUCCCACCGCGUGGCCA
rnacentral:tRNA from 1 species